CCUACGGGGGGCAGCAGUGAGGAAUAUUGGUCAAUGGUCGGGAGACUGAACCAGCCAAGCCGCGUGAGGGAGGAAGGUACAGAGUAUCGUAAACCUCUUUUGUCGGGGAACAAAGACUGGGACGCGUCCCCGGAUGAGUGUACCUGAAGAAAAAGCAUCGGCUAACUCCGUGCCAGCAGCCGCGGUAAUACGGAGGAUGCGAGCGUUAUCCGGAUUUAUUGGGUUUAAAGGGUGCGCAGGCGGUUUGUCAAGUCAGCGGUAAAAAUUCCGGGCUCAACCC
rnacentral:rRNA from 1 species